AUGCUUACGCCUACUAUUUGUGCCGGUGUAUAUAAACAAGUGAUUUGUGCUGUUGUGCACAGACUAGCGUGGCCGCCGGGGGCAGCCAGGUCUUGCCGGGCAUCCCUAGCUCCAAACCAAGUCAACCACCAACCUGAAGCCCCUCAGAGAAGUCUCCCUCGCCGGCAGGGUCGAGACCACGCCAAGCCGCACCGGCAAGGUCUCCGGGGACGCCAAGGCCAAAACAAGACCUCAAGACGAAGGCCUCGCAGGCUCCAUGCCGGCAAACCUCCGCAGACGCCAUCGCUCCACCUCGCCGAACCACCAGUCACUAAUCAGUGCGGUGUCAAGCCCUCAGGCAGCUAG
rnacentral:rRNA from 1 species